UGAGAGGAGGCAGCUAGAAAAAAUGCCAGUGGAUGAGCACUGGCUAGGGGAGCCUGGAGCACCUGAGGCCUGACUGAGAAGCUGGUCCAGCUGGCCAGGGAAGGAAGGUUAUAAAGGGAAGAGUUGGCCACAUGUGCCUCCACAACCACCUUCCCGUGAGCAGAGAGGGAGAGGGAGAGGGAGGAGCUACAUUCACAACUUUAUCUUCAAAGCAUAAGCAUGUAAGGUCAUAGAUUUUGUGUUUGAUGAGCAAAAGAACAACUUGUCAAAGAAAGCACACUGCCUAGGAGAGUCUGGGAUUGCUGGGAAGCAACAUUAACUUGGGCAACCAUUCAAAAGACUAACUGAAACAAGGAUAUGAGAGCCACAAAGUGAGAAGGAAAAAUUUGCAUGGGAUUAAUUUCAAAAGCUCAUGUGAUGCAAAUAUGCAUUUAAACUUGUGAGUGCAUUUUUUUUUUAUCAAAAAAUUCUCCCUUUACAUAUGGAAAAUAUAAAAUGGUAGAAUAAGAAGAGGGACUGGACCUUUGAUUUCAUUGGCAAAAGGAACUCUCCAGUGAGGAAAAUCCUCAG